AACUCGCUGUGAAGAUGCAGUGUACCCGCGGCAAGACGGAAAGACCCCGUGAACCUUUACUAUAGCUUGACACUGAACAUUGAGCCUUGAUGUGUAGGAUAGGUGGGAGGCUUUGAAGUGUGGACGCCAGUCUGCAUGGAGCCGACCUUGAAAUACCACCCUUUAAUGUUUGAUGUUCUAACGUUGACCCGUGAUCCGGGUUGCGGACAGUGUCUGGUGGGUAGUUUGACUGGGGCGGUCUCCUCCUAAAGAGUAACGGAGGAGCACGAAGGUUGGCUAAUCCUGGUCGGACAUCAGGAGGUUAGUGCAAUGGCAUAAGCCAGCUUGACUGCGAGCGUGACGGCGCGAGCAGGUGCGAAAGCAGGUCAUAGUGAUCCGGUGGUUCUGAAUGGAAGGGCCAUCGCUCAACGGAUAAAAGGUACUCCGGGGAUAACAGGCUGAUACCGCCCAAGAGUUCAUAUCGACGGCGGUGUUUGGCACCUCGAUGUCGGCUCAUCACAUCCUGGGGCUGAAGUAGGUCCCAAGGGUAUGGCUGUUCGCCAUUUAAAGUGGUACGCGAGCUGGGUUUAGAACGUCGUGAGACAGUUCGGUCCCUAUCUGCCGUGGGCGCUGGAGAACUGAGGGGGGCUGCUCCUAGUACGAGAGGACCGGAGUGGACGCAUCACUGGUGUUCGGGUUGUCAUGCCAAUGGCACUGCCCGGUAGCUAAAUGCGGAAGAGAUAAGUGCUGAAAGCAUCUAAGCACGAAACUUGCCCCGAGAUGAGUUCUCCCUGACUCCUUGAGAGUCCUGAAGGAACGUUGAAGACGACGACGUUGAUAGGCCGGGUGUGUAAGCGCAGCGAUGCGUUGAGCUAACCGGUACUAAUGAACCGUGAGGCUUAACCUUACAACGCCGAAGGUGUUU
rnacentral:rRNA from 1 species